rnacentral:ncRNA from 1 species
CCGUCGUUGACGAAGUGCUUGCGGGCGUCUUCGUCAAAUACCGAAUACAUCACCCCACCGGCUUUGGCCAGCGCGUUGCCGGCGUGCGGCCAGAUGAUGACGAUGGAUUCGUCGGUGAAACGGCGGCCGUGUUGAUCUACCCACAGAUAAGGCUGACGAGCGGCGGCCAGCAACUGAGAGUUAGGCGCAUAGUCCGGCAGGCCGGGGCGGUAGGACUGUACGACGCCCAUGCCUUCCUCUUUGGCCCCGGCUUUCCACGCCAUUUUGAUGCCGUCGCCGUCUUUACCGACGUUGCCCACCAUGAUGGUGUCCGGCACCGCCACGUAUUUUUGCAGC